GCCCUCGUCGUUCAAUGGAUAGGAUAUGGGUUUGCGGUACCCACGAUGUAGGUUCGAUUCCUGCCGAGGGCACCA
rnacentral:tRNA from 1 species